AGGACCUGGGAUGCGCGGGAGAAAUGGGCCUGGGCAGGGCUUGACUCAAGCACCAAGACAUCGAGGCCUCUUGAGAGUUCUCUGAGCACCAGGCCCCAUCGCACCAUAGCAGGCUUUCUGCAAAAUAGGCAUUUUGGAGCUUUUCCGAAGAGGUUCCUAGAGGUGGCGGUAACCUUGACGGGAGAAGCACAAUGUUUGAAGAGAAGAAUGGAAGCUUUUGAGUAGUGUGAGAUUUUAAUCAGAGACAGAUUCCUAAUUGCUAAAAACUUUUCCGCAGGGCCGAAGAGGAGGGCUGAGAUUUAUAUGCCUCAGGCAACACACCAUGAAAAUGACAUGGGACAUCCUAUCUCCUCUCUCUCACACAAGCAUAAUUU
ensembl:lncRNA